rnacentral:rRNA from 1 species
UACGGGGGGGGGCAAGCGUUGUUCGGAAUUACUGGGCGUAAAGGGCUCGUAGGCGGCCAACUAAGUCGGAUGUGAAAUCCCCAGGCUCAACUUGGGAACUGCGUCUGAUACUGGAUGGCUUGAAUUCGGGAGAGGGAUGCAGAAUUCCAGGUGUAGCGGUGAAAUGCGUAGAUAUCUGGAGGAAUACCGGUGGCGAAGGCGGCAUCCUGGACCGAUAUUGACACUGAGGAGCGAAAGCCAGGGGAGCAAACGGG